AAUGGGUAUGAAUCUCUGUGUGCUCAUAUACAUAUGCUUGAUUAUAUGAUCAUCUCGUGGAGGACAUGUGACAUGGGAAGACAAUAGGGCACAUGAUAUGCUCUUUGACCUAAGGUGUCCUGGGGAAGUGUCGCUACGUUUACUAUGGGAAAAACUCAGAAGGCAACAGGUUUAUCCGAGAUGACCAGCUCUGAAGCCAAGUUCUGUAUACCUUCACCCAUUUCACGAAAAUAAAAUCAAAAGGGA
rnacentral:sRNA from 1 species